UACGGAGGGUGCGAACGUUAAUCGGAAUUACUGGGCGUAAAGCGCGUGUAGGCGGCCAUCUAAGUCGGGCGUGAAAUCCCACGGCUCAACCGUGGAAGUGCACUCGAAACUGGAUGGCUAGAGUCCUGGAGAGGAAGGUGGAAUGCUUGGUGUAGAGGUGAAAUUCGUAGAUAUCAAGCGGAACACCGGUGGCGAAGGCGGCCUUCUGGACAGUGACUGACGCUGAGACGCGAAAGCGUGGGGAGCAAACAGG
rnacentral:rRNA from 1 species